AGAGUUUGAUCCUGGCUCAGAGCGAACGCUGGCGGCGUGCUUAACACAUGCAAGUCGAGUGCGCGUCUGUAGCAAUACAGAUGGCGCACGGCGCACGGGUGCGUAACACGUGGGUAAUCUGCCCUUCGAUGGGGAAUAACUCCGGGAAACCGAAGCUAAUUCCGCAUAACAUUCCUUGAACCUCGGUUUGGGGACUCAAAGCCGUAAGGCGUCGGAGGAGGAACCCGCGCACGAUUAGCUAGUUGGUAGGGUAACGGCCUACCAAGGCUUUGAUCGUUAGCUGGUCUGAGAGGAUGGCCAGCCACACUGGAACUGAGACACGGUCCAGACUCCUACGGGAGGCAGCAGUGGGGAAUCUUGCACAAUGGGCGAAAGCCUGAUGCAGCGACGCCGCGUGGGGGAUGAAGCUUUUCGGAGUGUAAACCCCUUUCGACCCGGACGAAUGUCCCGCAAGGGAACUGACGGUACGGGUAUAAGAAGCCCCGGCUAACUACGUGCCAGCAGCCCGCGGUAAGACGUGGGGGGCCAGCGUUGCUCGGAAUUACUGGGUGUUAAAGGGUUCGU
rnacentral:rRNA from 1 species